CCUACGGGUGACAGCAGUAGGGAAUAUUGCUCAAUGGGGGAAACCCUGAAGCAGCAACGCCGCGUGGAGGAUGAAGGUUUUCGGAUUGUAAACUCCUUUUGUUAGAGAAGAUAAUGACGGUAUCUAACGAAUAAGCACCGGCUAACUCCGUGCCAGCAGCCGCGGUAAUACGGAGGGUGCAAGCGUUACUCGGAAUCACUGGGCGUAAAGAGCGCGUAGGCGGGAUAGCAAGUCAGAUGUUAAAUCCUAUGGCUUAACCAUAGAACUUCCUUUGAAAGUGUUAUUCUAAGGUAUGGGAGAGGUAGGUUGAAAUCUUGGUUGUGGGGUAAAAUCUGUAGAGAUCAAGAGGAAUACUCAUUGCGAAGGCGACCUGCUAGAACAUAACUGACGCUGAUGCGCGAAAGCGUGGGGAGCAAACAGGAUUAGAUACCCGAGUAGUC
rnacentral:rRNA from 1 species